GUCUGUGGCUCCGUUCGUUCGUUCGUCCGUCUGUGCGCCCGUUCAGGUUAAAGUUUUUGGUCAAGGUAGUUUUUGAUGAAGCUGAAGUCCAAUCAACUUGAAACGUAGUACACUUGUUGCUUAUGAUAUGAUCUUUCUAAUUUUAAGGCCCAGUUAGACUUUUGGCCCCAAUUUCACGGUCCACUGAACAUAGAAAAUGAAAGUGGGAGUUUCAGGUUAAAGUUUUUGGUCAAGGUAGUUUUUGAUGAAGCUGAAGUCCAAUCAACUUGAAACUUAGUACACUUGUUGCUUAUGAUAUAUUCUUUCUUAUUUUAAAGCCAAAUUAGACUUUUGACUCCAAUUUCACGGUCCACUAAACAUAGAAAAUGAAAGUGGGAGUUUCAGGUUAAAGUUUUUGGUCAAGGUAGUUUUUGAUGAAAUUGAAGUCCAAUCAACUUGAAACUUAGUACAUAUGUUCCCUAUAGUAUAAUCUUUCUAAUUUUAAUGCCAAAUUAGAUUAUUACCCAAUUUCACGGUCCAUGGAACAUGGAAAAGGAUCGUGCGAGUGAGGCAUCCGUACUUUGGACACAUUCUUGUUGUUUCAUUAUGUUUUUAUGCCCCACCUACGAUAGUAGAGGGGCAUUAUGUUUUCUGGUCUGUGCGUCCGUUCGUUCGUCCGUCUGUCCGUCCGUCCGUCCGUCUGUCCCGCUUCAGGUUAAAGUUUUUGGUCAAGGUAGUUUUUGAUGAAGCUGAAGUCCAAUCAACUUGAAACUUAGUACAUAUGUUCCUUAUGAUAUGAUCUUUCUAAUUUUAAAGACAAAUUAAACUUUUGAACCCUAUUUCACG
rnacentral:lncRNA from 1 species